rnacentral:rRNA from 1 species
UACGGGGGGGGGCGAGCGUUGUCCGAAGUUACUGGGCGUAAAGCGCGUGUAGGCGGGUUGUUAAGUCCGCUGUGAAAGCCCGGUGCUCAACGCCGGAGGGUCGGUGGAUACUGGCAGUCUUGAAGUGGCUAGGGGGAAAUGGAAUUACCGGUGUAGCGGGUGAAAUGCGUAGAUAUCGGUAGGAACACCAGUGGCGAAGGCGGUUUCCUGGAGCUAACUUGACGCUGAGACGCGAAAGCUGGGGGAGCAAACGGG